CCUACGGGAGGCAGCAGUGAGGAAUAUUGGUCAAUGGGCGCGAGCCUGAACCAGCCAAGUAGCGUGAAGGAUGACUGCCCUACGGGUUGUAAACUUCUUUUAUAAAGGAAUAAAGUGAGGCACGUGUGCCUUUUUGUAUGUACUUUAUGAAUAAGGAUCGGCUAACUCCGUGCCAGCCGCCGCGGUAAUACGGAGGAUCCGAGCGUUUUCCGGAUUUAGUGGGUUUAAAGGGAGCGUAGAUGGGUUGUUAAGUCAGUUGGGAAAGUUUGCGGCUCAACCGUAAAAUUGCAAUUGAUACUGGCAGUCUUGAGUACAGUUGAGGUAGGCGGAAUGCGUGGUGUAGCGGUGAAAUGCUUAGAUAUCACGAAGAACUCCGAUUGCGAAGGCAGCUUACUAAACUGCCACUGACAUUGAUGCUCGAAAGUGUGGGUAUCAAACAGGAUUAGAUACCCGAGUAGUC
rnacentral:rRNA from 1 species